GACGAACGCUGGCGGCGUGCCUAACACAUGCAAGUCGAACGAAGCGCUGCGGAAAGAGACUUCGGUCAAUGGAAGCUUUGACUUAGUGGCGGACGGGUGAGUAACGCGUGAGGAACCUGCCUUUCAGUGGGGGACAACAGUUGGAAACGACUGCUAAUACCGCAUAACAUACGGAUGUCGCAUGGCAACCGUAUCAAAGAUUUUAUCGCUUGAAGAUGGACUCGCGUCCGAUUAGCCAGUUGGCGGGGUAACGGCCCACCAAAGCGACGAUCGGUAGCCGGACUGAGAGGUUGAACGGCCACAUUGGGACUGAGACACGGCCCAGACUCCUACGGGAGGCAGCAGUGGGGGAUAUUGCGCAAUGGGGGCAACCCUGACGCAGCAACGCCGCGUGAACGAUGAAGGUCUUCGGGAUUGUAAAGUUCUUUUAAUUAAGGACGAAG
rnacentral:rRNA from 1 species